GAACACCGCAAGGGCGUUUCCGAGGAAUGUUUGACUAUGUUUGUUCGAUCGAUUCCAAAUUUUUAUCUCAUCUUAGACUGGAACUUACAGAAAGCUGUCCUUUCUGUCCUGAGCAUAUUCUUUUGAAAUCCCAACACUGAUGGAGGCUUAAAUGUCGAGGGGAAACACUGACAGGGAAUAAGGAUAUCGAAAGGACUUUGAGAUGACAAGCUAGCUGAGCCUUUUGUCUCCGAGGACUUUGUUUAAAAAUCUCAAUCACCAGUGGUGCUAUCAUUACGGUGCCUUCGUGUGUCGAAGUUUUGGCAAACAUGUACACAGUCAAGAUUUUUAAAUUGCCAAGAAUUAGCUGCGUUAAUUACUUAUGGGGUGUUACCCAACCAAACGCAACGCCGGUACACGUCAAGACUCUAACUUUGUAGAUGACAGAAGAUUCAAGUUCAAGUCCAAAUACCAUCACGCAAGUUUCAUAGCUUGAGAAAUAGUUAAACUAUGCAAAAAACCGUUGAAAUGCGUGCUCUUUGAUAAACGACGAGAGGGUAACUUCAAGCGACUAUGAGCACGCCAUCAAUUAUCCACUCGCUUGAUUUCUCAUGUGACGUUUCAGUUCCUCCACGCUGUACUAAAAGAAAUUAAAUAUAUGCUUUUUUUGCUGGAAUUUGACCUCCAUUUGAAGUUUUAAAUUAAGUUACAGUUGUCUCUUUUAAAAAAUGAAACGAAUCUCGUCCGAGGUCCGGGAGGAGUUUCCAUCUCAUAAGUUAAGGUGAUUUGAUACAGCAUCAGAUAUCGAAUUUACUUAAAUAAAAUGCUUUUAUCCUCUUGU